UCUUAUGGAUGAGCAAAGGAAGUGGUUUUUUGAGAUGCUAUCUACUCCUGCUAAAGAUGCUAUGAA
rnacentral:pre_miRNA from 1 species